rnacentral:lncRNA from 1 species
ACUUUAAGUCCAAAAUUUUUUAAGACACCCUUAAAUAGCAUAUUGAUUUUCACAGUUCGUCUCCUUCACAAUUGUCCGGACUUUAGUUCGUCUCCUUCAUAUAAGAUAGUCUCCUUCACAGACUCAGUUCACACAAAUAGUUCGUCUCCUAGACUCCUUCACAUAAAUAGUUCUUCUCCUUCACAUAAAUCAAUCAAUCUGAAAAGCAAAUAAUCAAUUGAGCUUUUCCAGCGGACUUCGUCUCUUUCAGUUCUUCAUCACUGUUUAAUUUCAGGUAUUAAUUCUAUUUUUUAGGAUUUUGAAAUUAAUUAUUUUGUUUAUGAGAUUUAGUCUCUUCUUUAAUUAUCUUUAAUUCGCUUGGCUCAAAAAUGGGGUCGUGAUUUUAGUAUUUGCAGAGCGUUACUUGUUGGGUUUUGCAGCAAAAUGAGCUUGUGUAAUUGUUCAGUUGUUUUACCAGGUGAUUCUUUUUUCUGCUCUUUUUAGCGUACUGGGUUUUUUUUCCCUUAUAUUUUCUUCUGAAGCUGGAUUUUGAGCUGUAAUGAUUGUCAUCUCCUCCUAAUCUGUAAGUUUCUCUCUCUAAAAAAACGUUUUUUCCCCUCUCAUGUUUUUGUCUUUUG